GACGAAUGCUGGCGGCGUGCCUAAUACAUGCAAGUUGAGCGAUGAAGAUUGGUGCUUGCACCAAUUUGAAGAGCAGCGAACGGGUGAGUAACGCGUGGGGAAUCUGCCUUUGAGCGGGGGACAACAUUUGGAAACGAAUGCUAAUACCGCAUAACAACUUUAAACAUAAGUUUUAAGUUUGAAAGAUGCAAUUGCAUCACUCAAAGAUGAUCCCGCGUUGUAUUAGCUAGUUGGUGAGGUAAAGGCUCACCAAGCGAUGAUACAUAGCCGACCUGAGAGGGUGAUCGGCCACAUUGGGACUGAGACACGGCCCAAACUCCUACGGGAGGCAGCAGUAGGGAAUCUUCGGCAAUGGACGAAAGUCUGACCGAGCAACGCCGCGUGAGUGAAGAAGGUUUUCGGAUCGUAAAACUCUGUUGGUAGAGAAGAACGUUGGUGAGAGUGGAAAGCUCAUCAAGUGACGGUAACUACCCAGAAAGGGACGGCUAACUACGUG
rnacentral:rRNA from 1 species